rnacentral:rRNA from 1 species
AUACGUAGGGGGCGAGCGUUAUCCGGAAUUAUUGGGCGUAAAGAGUACGUAGGUGGUUUCCUAAGCGAGGGGUUUAAGGCACUGGCUUAACCAAUGUUCGCCCCCCGAACUGGGGAACUUGAGUGCUGGAGAGGAAAGCGGAAUUCCUAGUGUAGCGGUGAAAUGCGUAGAUAUUAGGAGGAACACCAGUGGCGAAGGCGGCUUUCUGGACAGUAACUGACACUGAGGUACGAAAGUGUGGGGAGCAAACAGGAUUAGAUACCCUGGUAGUCCACACCGUAAACGAUGAGCACUAGGUGUCGGGCUCGCAAGAGUUCGGUGCCGCAGUUAACGCAUUAAGUGCUCCGCCUGGGGAGUGCGUACGCAAGUAUGAAACUUAAAUGAAUUGGCGGGG